UUGCUCAUAGCAUGAUAUAUGUAAUAAAUUGUAAAUUUACUGACAGACAUUUGUAGUUGUCUUGGGCAAA
rnacentral:tRNA from 1 species